CCUACGGGGGGCAGCAGUGAGGAAUAUUGGACAAUGGGGGCAACCCUGAUCCAGCCAUGCCGCGUGCAGGAAGACUGCCCUAUGGGUUGUAAACUGCUUUUGUACGGGAAGAAACACUGCCACGUGUGGCAGCUUGACGGUACCGUAAGAAUAAGGAUCGGCUAACUCCGUGCCAGCAGCCGCGGUAAUACGGAGGAUCCAAGCGUUAUCCGGAAUCAUUGGGUUUAAAGGGUCCGUAGGUGGAUGGUUAAGUCAGAGGUGAAAUCCUGCAGCUCAACUGUAGAAUUGCCUUUGAUACUGGCUAUCUUGAAUCAAUGUGAAGUGGUUAGAAUAUGUAGUGUAGCGGUGAAAUGCAUAGAUAUUACAUAGAAUACCAAUUGCGAAGGCAGAUCACUAACAUUGCAUUGACACUGAUGGACGAAAGCGUGGGGAGCGAACAGG
rnacentral:rRNA from 1 species